rnacentral:rRNA from 1 species
AGCGUACACGGUGGAUGCCCUGGCAGUCAGAGGCGAUGAAGGACGUGCUAAUCUGCGAUAAGCGCCGGUAAGGUGAUAUGAACCGUUAUAACCGGCGAUUUCCGAAUGGGGAAACCCAGUGUGACUCGUCACACUAUCAUUAACUGAAUCCAUAGGUUAAUGAGGCGAACCGGGGGAACUGAAACAUCUAAGUACCCCGAGGAAAAGAAAUCAACCGAGAUUCCCCCAGUAGCGGCGAGCGAACGGGGAGGAGCCCAGAGCCUGAAUCAGCAUGUGUGUUAGUGGAAGCGUCUGGAAAGGCGCGCGAUACAGGGUGACAGCCCCGUACACAAAAGCGCAUGUGCUGUGAGCUCGAUGAGUAGGGCGGGACACGUGGUAUCCUGUCUGAAUAUGGGGGGACCAUCCUCCAAGGCUAAAUACUCCUGACUGACCGAUAGUGAACCAGUACCGUGAGGGAAAGGCGAAAAGAACCCCGGCGAGGGGAGUGAAAAAGAACCUGAAACCGUGUACGUACAAGCAGUGGGAGCCCCACCACUAAGCCAGUGGUGAACUCCACAUACGCAUCCUUUGCUGAGGAUACGGUUAACGGAGCGAAAGCGACGUUCAACCUCAAAAGAAGCAGAGGGGGCUUAGUGGUGGGGUGACUGCGUACCUUUUGUAUAAUGGGUCAGCGACUUAUAUUCUGUAGCAAGGUUAACCGAAUAGGGGAGCCGGAGGGAAACCGAGUCUUAAUUGGGCGUUAAGUUGCAGGGUAUAGACCCGAAACCCGGUGAUCUAGCCAUGGGCAGGUUGAAGGUUGGGUAACACUAACUGGAGGACCGAACCGACUAAUGUUGAAAAAUUAGCGGAUGACCUGUGGCUGGGGGUGAAAGGCCAAUCAAACCGGGAGAUAGCUGGUUCUCCCCGAAAGCUAUUUAGGUAGCGCCUCGUGAAUUCAUCUCCGGGGGUAGAGCACUGUUUCGGCUAGGGGGCCAUCCCGGCUUACCAACCCGAUGCAAACUGCGAAUACCGGAGAAUGUUAUCACGGGAGACACACGGCGGGUGCUAACGUCCGUCGUGAAGAGGGAAACAACCCAGACCGCCAGCUAAGGUCCCAAAGUCAUGGUUAAGUGGGAAACGAUGUGGGAAGGCCCAGACAGCCAGGAUGUUGGCUUAGAAGCAGCCAUCAUUUAAAGAAAGCGUAAUAGCUCACUGGUCGAGUCGGCCUGCGCGGAAGAUGUAACGGGGCUAAACCAUGCACCGAAGCUGCGGCAGCGACACUAUGUGUUGUUGGGUAGGGGAGCGUUCUGUAAGCCUGUGAAGGUGGCCUGUGAGGGUUGCUGGAGGUAUCAGAAGUGCGAAUGCUGACAUAAGUAACGAUAAAGCGGGUGAAAAGCCCGCUCGCCGGAAGACCAAGGGUUCCUGUCCAACGUUAAUCGGGGCAGGGUGAGUCGACCCCUAAGGCGAGGCCGAAAGGCGUAGUCGAUGGGAAACGGGUUAAUAUUCCCGUACUUGGUGUUACUGCGAAGGGGGGACGGAGAAGGCUAUGUUGGCCGGGCGACGGUUGUCCCGGUUUAAGCGUGUAGGUGUGUGUUCCAGGUAAAUCCGGUUCACUUUAACACUGAGGCGUGAUGACGAGGCACUACGGUGCUGAAGCAACAAAUGCCCUGCUUCCAGGAAAAGCCUCUAAGCAUCAGGUAACAUCAAAUCGUACCCCAAACCGACACAGGUGGUCAGGUAGAGAAUACCAAGGCGCUUGAGAGAACUCGGGUGAAGGAACUAGGCAAAAUGGUGCCGUAACUUCGGGAGAAGGCACGCUGACAUGUAGGUGAAGUGAUUUACUCAUGGAGCUGAAGUCAGUCGAAGAUACCAGCUGGCUGCAACUGUUUAUUAAAAACACAGCACUGUGCAAACACGAAAGUGGACGUAUACGGUGUGACGCCUGCCCGGUGCCGGAAGGUUAAUUGAUGGGGUCAGCGCAAGCGAAGCUCCUGAUCGAAGCCCCGGUAAACGGCGGCCGUAACUAUAACGGUCCUAAGGUAGCGAAAUUCCUUGUCGGGUAAGUUCCGACCUGCACGAAUGGCGUAAUGAUGGCCAGGCUGUCUCCACCCGAGACUCAGUGAAAUUGAACUCGCUGUGAAGAUGCAGUGUACCCGCGGCAAGACGGAAAGACCCCGUGAACCUUUACUAUAGCUUGACACUGAACAUUGAGCCUUGAUGUGUAGGAUAGGUGGGAGGCUUUGAAGUGUGGACGCCAGUCUGCAUGGAGCCGACCUUGAAAUACCACCCUUUAAUGUUUGAUGUUCUAACGUGGACCCGUAAUCCGGGUUGCGGACAGUGUCUGGUGGGUAGUUUGACUGGGGCGGUCUCCUCCUAAAGAGUAACGGAGGAGCACGAAGGUUGGCUAAUCCUGGUCGGACAUCAGGAGGUUAGUGCAAUGGCAUAAGCCAGCUUGACUGCGAGCGUGACGGCGCGAGCAGGUGCGAAAGCAGGUCAUAGUGAUCCGGUGGUUCUGAAUGGAAGGGCCAUCGCUCAACGGAUAAAAGGUACUCCGGGGAUAACAGGCUGAUACCGCCCAAGAGUUCAUAUCGACGGCGGUGUUUGGCACCUCGAUGUCGGCUCAUCACAUCCUGGGGCUGAAGUAGGUCCCAAGGGUAUGGCUGUUCGCCAUUUAAAGUGGUACGCGAGCUGGGUUUAGAACGUCGUGAGACAGUUCGGUCCCUAUCUGCCGUGGGCGCUGGAGAACUGAGGGGGGCUGCUCCUAGUACGAGAGGACCGGAGUGGACGCAUCACUGGUGUUCGGGUUGUCAUGCCAAUGGCACUGCCCGGUAGCUAAAUGCGGAAGAGAUAAGUGCUGAAAGCAUCUAAGCACGAAACUUGCCCCGAGAUGAGUUCU